AAGAAGCCGGAUAUCGCCAUAACUGGUGUUAGCACCUUGUAAAGUGAUGCGUUCUUGAGGUUGGAGACUCAUCCAAGAAGCAGUGGCUUUGACAAGGUUGGAACAAGAGAAACUGUUUACCUUUCAUUAUCGUUGCUGUUGCGGAUGGCCCAAAACACAUUGACACCACACUGACAGGGGUCAAAUUUGCAGAACUCUGUUCAGAUUUGCUAGACAGCCAUUUAGGAGCAUGAGGAAAUGACUGGAAAAGAGACCAAUGUGACUGUAAAUCCUUAUGAAGUUGUUGGUCUUGAAGCUAUACUUCAGGACUUAAAACUUUCAGUGGCGUACUGACAAAGAUUAUCUGAAGGAUCACAACUUUACCGAUUUCCAAAUCAUGGUUGUUUUCUUUUCCACUGCUGCAAAUGGAUGGACCAGUGUAGAGAUUAACCUCUAUCAAGGUGAGAGAGUUUGUGAGGGACAACAAAUCUCUUGGAAGCUUUCACUUAGAUGUCAUCCCACAUGUGCCACAUGGAGUUCCUCAAAUUGAGGUGAAAUGUGAUAUUGAUGCCAAUGGUAUCCUUUCAGUCACUUCAAUUGACAAGGAAAUUGGAAAGAAGCAAGAUAUUGCCAUAACUGGUGCUAGCACCUUGCCAAGUGAUAAGGAUGGUUAGAGAAGCUGAAAAGUUUGGUAAGGAAGACAUGGAAAAGAGGGAUGCCAUAGACACAAAGAACCAAGCUAACUCAAUUUUGUACCAAAUUGAGAUGGAACUUAAAGAGUAGGGAGACAAAAGUUCCUGAACCAAUCAAGGAGAAAGUAAAAGCUAAAGUGGAAGACCUCUAGGAUGCCAUCUCUGGUGGAUUAGCCCAAGCCAUUAAAGCUGCAAUGGUUGACCUAAAUCAAGAAAUUAUGUAACUGGAGCUGUCAACAUGACGUGACUUUGAAUUGGAUUCCUAUUAAAAGUCUAUUAACUUUUCCGGAUUAUCUUCUUCAGUUCUUUGCAUGCACUACAACAAUUGUCUAUCCUAAAUUUUAGGACUGCAGCUUUGUUGCUGUUGUAUUUGUAGUAUGACAAUAUCUCUUUUAUAUUGAGUAAUUUGGGUGUAUUGGGGUUUGGAUUUUGUGAGAAUUCUGUCAUACCACCUUUGUAUUUUCCAUAUUUGUUAGUGGAACUUUCUCCUUGUCUUCGCCUGUGGAUGUAGGCCAAAGGCCAAGCCACGUAAA